rnacentral:rRNA from 1 species
GACGAACGCUGGCGGCGUGCCUAAUACAUGCAAGUCGAGCGAAUGGAUGGGAGCUUGCUCCCUGAAGUUAGCGGCGGACGGGUGAGUAACACGUGGGCAACCUGCCUGUAAGACUGGGAUAACUUCGGGAAACCGGAGCUAAUACCGGAUACAUUCUUUCUUUGCCUGAAGAAAGAUGGAAAGAUGGUUUCGGCUAUCACUUACAGAUGGGCACGCGGCGCAUUAGCUAGUUGGUGAGGUAACGGCUCACCAAGGCAACGAUGCGUAGCCGACCUGAGAGGGUGAUCGGCCACACUGGGACUGGGACACGGCCCAGACUCCUACGGGAGGCAGCAGUAGGGAAUCUUCCGCAAUGGACGAAAGUCUGACGGAGCAACGCCGCGUGAGCGAAGAAGGCCUUCGGGUCGUAAAGCUCUGUUGUUAGGGAAGAACAAGUACCAGAGUAACUGCUGGUGCCUUGACGGUACCUAACCAGAAAGCCACGGCUAACUACGUGCCAGCCGCCGCAGUAAGAC